GAUGAACGCUGGCGGCGUGCUUAACACAUGCAAGUCGAACGAUGAAGCCCCGCUUGCGGGGUGGAUUAGUGGCGAACGGGUGAGUAACACGUGAGCAACCUGCCCCUCACUCUGGGAUAAGCGCUGGAAACGGCGUCUAAUACUGGAUACGAGCAACGGCCGCAUGGUCAGUUGUUGGAAAGAUUUUUUGGUGGGGGAUGGGCUCGCGGCCUAUCAGCUUGUUGGUGAGGUAAUGGCUCACCAAGGCGUCGACGGGUAGCCGGCCUGAGAGGGUGACCGGCCACACUGGGACUGAGACACGGCCCAGACUCCUACGGGAGGCAGCAGUGGGGAAUAUUGCACAAUGGGCGGAAGCCUGAUGCAGCAACGCCGCGUGAGGGAUGACGGCCUUCGGGUUGUAAACCUCUUUUAGCAGGGAAGAAGCGAAAGUGACGGUACCUGCAGAAAAAGCACCGGCUAACUACGUG
rnacentral:rRNA from 1 species